GGGGCUGUGGCUCAGUGGUAGAGCACUUGCCUAGCAUAUAUGAGGCACUGGGUUCGAUCCCUGGCACCA
rnacentral:tRNA from 1 species